UUAGAGUUUGAUCCUGGCUCAGGAUGAACGCUAGCGGCAGGCUUAACACAUGCAAGUCGAGGGGUAACAGGUCACUUCGGUGAUGCUGACGACCGGCGCACGGGUGAGUAACGCGUAUGGAACCUACCUGAAACAGGGGGAUAGCUUCCGGAAACGGGGAUUAAUACCCCAUACGAUUCAUUUGUGGCCUCACAAAUGGAUAAAAGCUACGGCGGUUUCAGAUGGUCAUGCGUACCAUUAGUUAGUUGGUGAGGUAAAGGCUCACCAAGGCGAUGAUGGUUAGGGGUCCUGAGAGGGUAGUCCCCCACACUGGUACUGAGACACGAACCAGACUCCUACGGGAGGCAGCAGUGAGGAAUAUUGGUCAAUGGGCGCUAGCCUGAACCAGCCAUGCCGCGUGCAGGAAGACGGCCCUACGGGUUGUAAACUGCUUUUCUGCAGGAAGAAUAUAUAGUCUUAGGGCUAUAUUGACGGUACUGCAGGAAUAAGCAUCGGCUAACUCCGUGCCAGCAGCCGCGGUAAUACGGAGGAUGCAAGCGUUAUCCGGAUUCAUUGGGUUUAAAGGGUGCGCAGGCUGUAAAGCAAGUCAGUGGUGAAAGCCCUGGGCUUAACUCAGGAUUGCCAUUGAAACUGUUUUACUAGAGUGUAGUAGAGGACGGCGGGAUGAGUUGUGUAGCGGUGAAAUGCAUAGAUAUAACUCAGACACCUAUGCGUAGGCAGCU
rnacentral:rRNA from 1 species